UACAGAGGUCUCAAGCGUUGUUCGGAUUCAUUGGGCGUAAAGGGUGCGUAGGUGGCGAGGCAAGUCAGAUGUGAAAUCCCGGGGCUCAACCCCGGAACUGCAUUUGAAACUGCCUUGCUCGAGUACUGGAGAGGAGACUGGAAUUACGGUGUAGCAGUGAAAUGCGUAGAUAUCGUAAGGAAGACCAGUGGCGAAGGCGAGUCUCUGGACAGUUACUGACACUGAGGCACGAAGGCCAGGGGAGCAAACGGG
rnacentral:rRNA from 1 species